GACGAACGCUGGCGGCGUGCUUAACACAUGCAAGUCGAACGGAAAGGCCCUGCUUGCAGGGUACUCGAGUGGCGAACGGGUGAGUAACACGUGGGUGAUCUGCCCUGCACUUCGGGAUAAGCUUGGGAAACUGGGUCUAAUACCGGAUAGGAGCCAUCUUUAGUGUGGUGGUUGGAAAGUUUUUUCGGUGUAGGAUGAGCUCGCGGCCUAUCAGCUUGUUGGUGGGGUAAUGGCCUACCAAGGCGGCGACGGGUAGCCGGCCUGAGAGGGUGUACGGCCACAUUGGGACUGAGAUACGGCCCAGACUCCUAGGGGAGGCAGCAGUGGGGAAUAUUGCACAAUGGGCGCAAGCCUGAUGCAGCGACGCCGCGUGGGGGAUGAAGGCCUUCGGGUUGUAAACUCCUUUCGCUAGGGACGAAGCUUUUUUGUGACGGUACCUAGAUAAGAAGCACCGGCUAACUACGUG
rnacentral:rRNA from 1 species